rnacentral:lncRNA from 1 species
UUUUUUUUAAUUAAAGAAUAGUUGGUUUACAAUGCUCUGUCAAUUUCUGCUGUACAGCCAAGUGACCCAGUCAUAUGUAUAUGUACAGUCUUUUUCUUAUACUAUUUUCUAUCAUGUUCUAUCACAAGUGAUUGGAUAGCAUUCCCUGUGCUAUACAGCAGGACCUCAUUGCUUAUCCAUUCUAAAUGUAAUAGUUUGCAUCUACUGACCCCAAACUCUCAGUCCAUCCCACUCCCUCCCCGUCCCCCUUGGCAACCACCAGUCUGUUCUCUAGGUCCCGGCUUGUCCUGCUUAGCAUAACGCCCUCAAAGCUCAUGUUGUUGCAAAUGGCAGGAUUUCUAUCUUUCUCUGGGCUGCAUGAUAUUCCACCGUGUAUACGACCACAUUGUCUUUAUUCAUCCAGCAGUGGACAUGUAGGUUGCUGCUGUGUCUUGGCAGGAUGGGCAGAGGGAAAAACUGGGCUGUGAGUCAGUCUCAGGAAGCUCCAGCCAAUUCUACAGAGGCCUCUGAAGCUAGAAGGACCCUUCAGGGUUGUGAGUUGAGGUCCUUCCAAGGAUUCUACGGGUUGGUUUCAAGGCUGUUCCCUCCCACAGCAAUGCCUGCCUUUCUUUCUGGAGCCUGGAGACUGUGUGUUUACCAGCUGUCCCAUUCCUUCAUCCUUCCAGCUCCACUUGUUCAUGGCAUGGCUGUCUUCCUCUGCCGGUAUCUGCCUCUGCUCAGUAACUUCGUGGGCUUGUCUUCGCAUCUCUCUUGGCUGGGGGCCAGUUUCCCGCAGUCUGUACACGCUCGUUUUCUGCAAAAGGUAAAAAUUUUCUAUCCCUGAACAUCAUGUUUUACUUUAUUAAAAUACUGUCAAAUCCAGUUCUUGGCAGAGGAUGCUCUGGGCUGUAUGUAUUGGCACUAUUGUUAUCUCCUUAAGCAGAGGGGAAAGAAAUCAGAGCUAUUUAAUGAGGUCCAAAGCCAAGGCUGUCCCUGGAGUUCCCGUCGGUCUUUGCCUUUUCAAAUUACAAUCGAAACUAUUUUUGUGUGUUGAGAGAAACAGAACACAGGACUCUUUUUGAAGAAGGGAAUGGCUGUCUUUCUCCGGAGGAGGCCGAUUAGCUUCUCUCCUGCAGGAGUCAGGAGCUCCCCUGUGUCCUGUCAGAUGUGAAGUUCAGCCCCUGCAGCAUUUGGAAGAGUUUGUUUCUUGUUUGGAAGCCAUCGCUAGCCUAACGCAUCAUGAGUCUGGGGCCAAGAGUCACGUUUCUCCAACUCACCACUCCUACCCAGAUUUCCUCUUUGCAAAGUCAGGUUCCCUUAAGGUUCAAUUUAUUCUGUCUGGUCAAACUCCACGGUUCCCCAGCAGGUUAAGAAAGGGGAAGAAGAGGGCGUCAGGACGUGGGGGAAAUGAUAACAUUAGACUGUGGGUCAGUGACUGAGAGCCUCUGUGUACAGACAAGGUUCUUUAUAUUUUUGUCAAGCUCACCAGUGCUUUCACACCCUCAUGUUCGUUCACUUGAGCUGCCAACAUCCCAAGGAGAAUUGGCAGUAGUGGUUUCCAUUUAAGACCAAAACUGUCUGCAUUCAUUUGCGCCUUCUUGGAGAGUGAGGGGCAUGUUUCAUAAGCAGUGAUGAUUUCUUUUGAGCAAACACCUUGAUGAGCUGAGGCUGAGACAGGCAAACCCCCUGAGCCCAGCCUGGGAGGCAGAGAUGAGUUCAAGGAAGCACCAGAUUUGCUCUGCCUGAUCCAGUGAGAGAAAUGUGGGUUUCUUUUCUUUUUUUUUCCUAGGGCCACACCCGUGGCAUAUGGAGAUUCCCGGGCUAGGGGUCUAAUUGGAACUGCAGCCACCAGCCUACGCCACAGCCACAGCAACGUGGGAUUCGAGCUGUGUCUUCGACCUACACCACAGCUCAUGGCAACACCGGAUCCUUAACCCACUGAGCGAGGCCAGGGAUUGAACCUGCGUCCUCAUGGUUCCUAGACGGUUUUGUUAACCACUGAGCCACGACGGAAACUCCCAAUUGUGGGUUUCUUAAGGUAGCCCCAGAAAGAGAGAGAAAGCCCAGGGGCCUUACGAAAGCCUACAAGAUUCCUUUACCUUGUUCUCUGCUUGAAGGUACUUGGUGCAUAGUAAAUGCUCAGUAAAAUGUUUGCUAACUCCACCAAGUGAAGGGGGGGAUGUAAGGAACUGCUGGGGAGGGUCCGGAUAGAGUUCUCAUCAUUUAGGGUCUGGGAUUUCUAGCCAUUCAACUUGAACAUCAGAGGGAUGAGAGACCUAGAAAAACUGGAAAAGAUUGGAAUGAGAACCUUUGGCUUACAUUCAUUUUACAGAUAUAAAAGCCUUCUCUGGACUCAGCGUUCAUAUCUGAAAAACGGCCUUACAGAUAUGAUCUAUAAAAUGAUUCUGCCUAAAGCUACUAUGAAAUUUGAGUGGGAGAAGUAGGGCUUGACCCACAUCAUCCUGCUCUGAGUUUUGCCCCGAUUAUUUGUUGCACAGGUGGGCACCUUUUGUCUGUCCCUUCCUAGGCUCAAACCCCUUCUUUUUGGACCAUAGCUCCACUUUGCUGAAGUGCAAAAGGAGAUAGAAUCCUGCAGUCAGGUCCCAAGGGCCUAUUUACUGACCUAUUGUGAAGGCGCCUGUUCUCCAAGAAAACUGAAUGCUUUAAAAGGGGGAGUGAGUUAUCAAUAUAGCCAACUGGCCAUGGAUUGGCCGGUGAUCUAUUUCAAGGGCACUAUUGGCAUGAAAUAUAGGUCCAUGCCAUUCCCUGCUUAUGACUCAUUUGUCUCUCUAACAGUCUCUCUUUGUUUUUCUUUUUUAAUUUUCCCCCCUUUUAGGGCCACACUUGCAGCAUAUGGAAGUUCCCAGGCUAGGGGUGGAAUCAGAGCUGCAGCUGCCGGCCUACACCAUAGCAAUACCAGAUCCUUAACCCACUGAGCAAGGCCAGGGAUGAAACCCGUGUCCUCAUGGACACUAGUUGGGUUCCUUACCGCUGAGCCAUGACGGGAACACCCACCCGUUUUAUUAAGCCCUAUUUUUCCUAUCACUCUGAUUAAUAAACCAGAGAUUUGUUAGAGAAACACUUUUCCACUAACUGGGGAACUCAUUAGACUGAAGAUAAUCGUGACAGCUUCAGGCCGGCACAUCUGUGGCAUGUGGAAGAGAACAGAGAAACCUGUGGAAGGGUGAUCCUUGUCCCACUGCAGACUUCCUAAUCUAUUUUCCCUACUUCUUCAGUCUUAUGAAAAACUCAUUGAAUAGACUGAACUUUUCGAGCUAAAUUAAAAAAAAAAAAACAAAAACCAAAAAAACGUUUCCUCUUUGCCUGCAAUUGUUCUACAACACAUUUCCCACUCCUUUCCCUUCGUGGUGUGUCCGGCAGAGCUGAAGCCUUGGUGUAAACGUUCACGAUCCCAUUGAAUUGAAUGCCUUCUUCCCUCCUUGCCCAGCCUGGCUUCAUCCUGGGGGACCUGGAAUGUGUGGGGCUGACCUUCUCUUCCACAUGCUUCC